GGGUCUAGUUCAUAAGAUCUCUUCAGGGCCUUUCCUACAUUUAAUGGUAUUUUUUCUUCUCCUGUUUUUCAAGAUCAUCUCCUCUAUCAGUACACAAAUCCAAUAACAGGAAGCCUGUGGCUUUACCAACCAGAAGCAAGACGACAAAAGAUCAGUGAAAUCCAAGACUUCCAGAAGAAAGACAUAUAUAAUAAGAUCAAAGAAAAACUACACCAAGCAGCACUUCUUGAGGGGAGCAGGAGAGAUGUGGCAUGGGAAAAGAGACUACAACAAACAGAAUUACGGUUUUUACUGCUGACAGCACUGCCAGACCAGCAUCGGUAGCUGUGGCAAAUCAAGAGGCAUCUUAUUCUGCUUCAUGUACCAUGAACAAAACUGAUAGCUAAAAUUCUGUUUCCAGAAUCCUUACAGUAUGACACUGGCAGCACUUAGUGUCGAUUUGUACCACUGGCCCCUCACUUUGGGCAAUGACAUCGGUUUUCUUCAUGUCAGCAUUUGAAGAUGGACAGUAUUUUAUAUCCUCUGUCCCACAUAUGGG